rnacentral:rRNA from 1 species
UACGUAGGUGACAAGCGCUUUUCGGAAUUAUUGGGCGGAAAGGGCGCGUAGGCGGUCAGCACAAGUCAGUUGUGAAAUCUCCGGGCUUAACUCGGAAAGGUCAACUGAUACUGUGCGACUAGAGUGCGGAAGGGGCAACUGGAAUUCUUGGUGUAGCGGUGAAAUGCGUAGAUAUCAAGAGGAACACCUGAGGUGAAGACGGGUUGCUGGGCUGACACUGACGCUGAGGCGCGAAAGCUAGGGUAGCAAACGGG